AUUGAACGCUGGCGGCAGGCCUAACACAUGCAAGUCGAGCGGAUGAAGGGAGCUUGCUCCUGGAUUCAGCGGCGGACGGGUGAGUAAUGCCUAGGAAUCUGCCUUGUAGUGGGGGAUAACGUCCGGAAACGGGCGCUAAUACCGCAUACGUCCUGAGGGAGAAAGUGGGGGACCUUCGGACCUCACGCUAUCAGAUGAGCCUAGGUCGGAUUAGCUAGUUGGUGGGGUAAAGGCCUACCAAGGCGACGAUCCGUAACUGGUCUGAGAGGAUGAUCAGUCACACUGGAACUGAGACACGGUCCAGACUCCUACGGGAGGCAGCAGUGGGGAAUAUUGGACAAUGGGCGAAAGCCUGAUCCAGCCAUGCCGCGUGUGUGAAGAAGGUCUUCGGAUUGUAAAGCACUUUAAGUUGGGAGGAAGGGCAGUAAGUUAAUACCUUGCUGUUUUGACGUUACCAACAGAAUAAGCACCGGCUAACUUCGUG
rnacentral:rRNA from 1 species